GGGCUAUGAUCGCAGUCGUUGUUACCGCAGGGGUAGGGGACAAGAAGACGAUUAUUAAUGUGUGUAGAUACUUAACCGAUGGAGUUAUCUUGCGUAUAAGUCUUGCCUACUUGGAGCUGAACAAUAUUCUAUCAUCAUAUUAGAUGAAGCUCAUUAGAGGCUGCACAAGUAUUGUUCAGCCUAUUGAGUCAUUUUGUCCCUUAUUUUGAUUCAUGUU